rnacentral:rRNA from 1 species
GAUGAACGCUGGCGGCGUGCUUAACACAUGCAAGUCGAACGGAAAGGCCCUGCUCUUGCGGGGUGCUCGAGUGCCGAACGGGUGAGUAACACGUGAGUAACCCGCCCCUGACUUUGGGAUAACUACUGGAAAAUGGGGCUAAUAUCGGAUAGGAGCUCCUGCUGCACGGUGGGGGGUGGUAAGUUUCGGCUGUUUUGGAUGGACUCGCGGCUUAUCAGCUUGUUGGUGGGGUAGUGGCUUUCCAAGGCUUUGACGGGUAGCCGACCUGGGAGGGUGAACAGGCACAUGAGGACUAAGGUAGGGACCAGUCUCGUACGGGGGGCAACGGUGGGAAAUCUUGCGCAGUGAGCGGAAGGCUGAUACGACAGCACCGGGUGCGGGAUGAUGGCCUUCGGGUUGUGAACCGCUUUCACCUGUGACGAAGCGUGAGUGACGGUAAUGAGUAAAGAAGCACCGGCUAACUACGUG